rnacentral:rRNA from 1 species
UUGAACGCUGGCGGCAUGCCUUACACAUGCAAGUCGAACGGCAGCACGGGUGCUUGCACCUGGUGGCGAGUGGCGAACGGGUGAGUAAUGUAUCGGAACGUGCCCAGUAGUGGGGGAUAACUACUCGAAAGAGUGGCUAAUACCGCAUGAGAACUGAGGUUGAAAGCGGGGGACCUUCGGGCCUCGCGCUACUGGAGCGGCCGAUAUCAGAUUAGGUAGUUGGUGGGGUAAAGGCCUACCAAGCCGACGAUCUGUAGCUGGUCUGAGAGGACGACCAGCCACACUGGGACUGAGACACGGCCCAGACUCCUACGGGAGGCAGCAGUGGGGAAUUUUGGACAAUGGACGCAAGUCUGAUCCAGCAAUGCCGCGUGCAGGACGAAGGCCUUCGGGUUGUAAACUGCUUUUGUACAGAACGAAAAGGCUCUGGUUAAUACCUGGGGCUCAUGACGGUACUGUAAGAAUAAGCACCGGCUAACUACGUG